AAUUGCCUUUGACUGAAGUUGGAGGUGCAUCUCCACCACCACCUUGAACACCACCAGAUCUGGAGACAUUGGUCUUAGAAAGCAACAGUGAUUGACAAAACACUUUGAUCUUUGAUACCUAAGCACAUAGUGUAGAUCUUCUUUUAAGUAUCUUUUGCCGCUAAUGAUGAUGCAACUGAUCUUCUUUUUGGUCUUGUUCAAGAAGACAGAGAAAAAUCUUGGUGUUGGAUUCUAUGGU
rnacentral:lncRNA from 1 species